rnacentral:rRNA from 1 species
UGGAUCCCUAGUAGCGGCGAGCGAAGCGGGAUGAGCCCAGAUUUGAAAGCUCCCGCCAGGGCGCAUUGUAAGCUGGAGACGUGCCUCGAGCGGCGCGGCUGGACGCCAAGUCUGCUGGAAAGCAGCAUCAGAGAGGGUGAGAAUCCCGUGCUUGGUCUGGCUGUGGCGCCGUGUUGUGGGGUGCGCUCGACGAGUCGCGUUGUUUGGGAAUGCAGCGCAAAGCGGGUGGUAAACGCCAUCCAAGGCUAAAUACCGGGGAGAGACCGAUAGCGAACAAGUACCGUGAGGGAAAGAUGAAAAGCACUUUGGAAAGAGAGUUAAACAGUACGUGAAAUUGCCAAGAGGGAAGCGCUGGCAGUCAGUGCCGUAGCUGUGUCUCUGUGGAUGCAGUGGGGCCCGCAUCGGUUGCGUGUGGGGGAGAAGGCAGUGCGGAAGGUGGCUUACCUCGUGUGAGUGUUAUAGCCGUGCUGUGGAUGCCCUGCGUGCGACCGAGGACCGCUCUUUUGACAGGAUGCGGGCUUAAUGGCUUUCAGCGGCCCGUCUAAACCCCC